rnacentral:rRNA from 1 species
UACGGAGGAUCCGAGCGUUAUCCGGAUUUAUUGGGUUUAAAGGGUGCGUAGGCGGAUCGUUAAGUCAGUGGUCAAAUUGAGGGGCUCAACCCCUUCCCGCCAUUGAAACUGGCGAUCUUGAGUGGAAGAGAAGUAUGCGGAAUGCGUGGUGUAGCGGUGAAAUGCAUAGAUAUCACGCAGAACCCCGAUUGCGAAGGCAGCAUGCCGGCUUCCGACUGACGCUGAAGCACGAAAGCGUGGGGAUCGAACAGG